GGCGGGCGCCUCCCACACCCCUCGCGCGCCCGCCGCUCCCGGAUGCCCCGGGCGGGCUCCACACCCACCUGCUUCCCUCGGCGGCUCCGGCUCCACUGAGCCGGAGGGUCCGCGGCCCCGCGGGCGCCGCGCACGGGGCGGCGGGGAAAGCCCGGGGCGCCCCGGCCAGGAUGCGCUUGGAGGCUUCGCGGGAUUCCCUGGACCCCUCUGUUUUCGGCCGCGGAGUUAUCCCCCGGCCCUCCCCACACACCCCUGACCCUGGCCCGCUGCUCGACCCCGGGGGACUGGGGAGAGGAGAGCCAGCUCCUGAGUGAUGACCCGGAGUAUCCCCAGGGAAGGAGCGCGCGGGUAACGAGGAGCGCAGAGAGGAUCCGACUUUCCUCCGAGCUCCUCCAGCUCUAUUUGGGGGCCGUCGCCAGCUCCAUAAUCCCCGCUUUCCCAGAGAACUGUGCCAAGUUCCUCCUUGGAGAGGCAGCCAGAUGGACACCCAGAACUUUCCGUAUCUUCGUGUCGAGUAACAUCAAGAAGGGCUUCCCAGAUGGCUCAGUGGUAAAGAAUCUACUUGCUAAUGCACGAAAUGCAGGUUUGAUACCUGGGUCAGGAAGAUCCCCAGAGAAGAAAAUGGCAACCCAGUCCAGUAUUCUUGCCUUGGAAAUCUCACGGACAGAGGAACCUGCCGAGCUACAGUCCCGAGGGUCGCAAAAGAAUGGCACACGACUUAGUGACUAAACAACAACAACAACAAUAUCAGGAAAAGGCAGCAAUUGUCGCUUAAUGAUAAUUAUGGGUGACAACAGUUGGAAUGCCUCUGCUGCUAAGGGAAGGCGAUUAAAGAGAAAAAAAGCAUCAUCAACACUUUAUGGAAAACUUUUUAAAGUGAUUAUUCAUAUUGUAUGUAAAAAAUCUAGGAAAAAAAAGUGUUUUCAUUAGUAAUUCACUAUUAAUUAAAAUGCAUGUCAUUCGAAGUAGUGUCAAUUGAUGGUGUAUUAGAAAACUCUUUGCUAUCUGGUGCAUUGUGCCUGUUUAUAUCUCCUUAGUGGAAUUUUAAUAAAUCAUCAUAAGGGUGACUUUAAUGGCUUAUU
rnacentral:lncRNA from 1 species